CGUCGCCAGCCUCCCUGUCGGCGCCGACCCUCCCGCCGCCGCCGCCGCCCUGCUCGUCGUCCGCCGUCGGCGUUCUGCUGCAACGAGUCGGCAAGGGGCACGGUGCGCGUUAGCGAGCCGUCUGCCAUUCUGCCGCUGGAUGAAGGCCCCGUAAGUCUGUGUUUGGUUACGAUGUUUGCUUGACCAGACUUCACCGUGCCCAUCAAAACGGAGUUGGCGAAUGGGAGGAAAGUCCCAGGGGCCGUUACAGAGAUAUUGCUCGCCAGUGACGCGAGCUAGCGAUGGCUGGGAAUCGAACUCGGGGUGGCAGUUCACAGUGCGGCGCGCUAACCACUUCGCCCUCGGCUAAAUCCAGAGAUUUGAUUUUGAGAAUCAAUAAUUUUUCUCUCUUUAUAUUUUACCAUCUCGUUUGUGCUGUAUCUCAAAGUCUGGUUUUAUGGUUUUGUUCAUUCCAUGAGUUUAAAUAUAGCAUUCACAUAUUUGCAUACAAUUGUAAUACUUUAUUUCAAAAUCACACACGCACAACAUGCGCUUAUCGGAAGUGUAAGAAACUUUUAAUCGGCACAUCAUUACAAGCCUGGGGCCGAUAUCACGCAUGUUCAAGUAUCGCAUUAGGUGGUCCAUGAUUUAUGAUUACUAAAAUAAAAUAUUGGAUUCUUCCAUAUAACACUGCAGUCAAACAGGUGCAAGCACUUCCGAUUAGCACGGUUGGCUUCGUACGGCGCGAAAAGAAUUCACCAUACACACGUAACACGGCCCUACGUACGAGCAUGACCCUACCCAUCAUCGGAUGCCCAGCUAUGCCUUACGCAUUGCCAACAUGCCGAUGUGAGCCUAGAAGUAUGCGUCUAUAACCGUGCACAUCCCUAUCUAUUACAGCUAUGCCAUUCUUGCGUAUAGCAAUAGAAUAGCAAUAUCAUUACAAUCUGCUAUUGCUACGUGUCAUUGCAAUGGGUUCUGAGCAAACCUAGAGCACGCAUCUAUUUUCAUUCACUCUAUUUGAGGAAUCAUGAAGUCGACGCAAGUUUUCUUUCACAAACUAAAACGUCUACCGCACAAAGGAGUCACGGCCUCGUCACGCUACGCUCUUCGGCGAAUCUCAGAAUAACCAAAGCAAUGUUUCUGUUCCCCAGCGCUGUAGAAAUGCUAUCAUUGUUGAGCAAUGUACUAACUGUUGUUGUGAUUGAAAUCAAGACUUCCGGCAUCGGGCGUCGACCAAGCAUCUCAUGAGCGGACGUGGUGUCCACUCCACUUGUUAUUGUGCCCAUGGUAAUGAAUGGCAAUGCAAAUGUAGUAUUAAUGCGAGCUAAAAAUGCUGCCGUGAUUAUAAUUAAAUGUUGCCCAGGUUCUGCUUGUGAGCUUUUGAAUACAGCACCAUGUGUGUUUGUAAUGGAAACGAGUCAAAUUAAUUGUUGGGUGUUUUUUUAAGUGAGAGUUCUUAAGUAUGUAAUGAAUAAUAAAUGGAAUCACAACCCCCCUAAACCUCACGCCCCCACCCCACCCUAACAAGAUACUUGUUUGUCUAGUCGAUGCUCCCGUCCCCUGGUUGUUAGUUGAUCUCAACGAAGAGCAAGUUCCCAUCGGGCCACGGGACAUGAUGCAGAGAGUUGGAGAUGGGUGCAUAGUGGCGUCCGCUCCUGCCACCUCACUUCUCAUGGCCCACUUUUAUACUACUACUUUUAUUUUACCAGGCGUAGGGUAUGGCCCCGUCUGCUUGCCCCCGAUGACCACACAGCAACGACGCACGCGCGUACAAGACGCAAGACCGUAUAAAUGGAGGCUUCACCUCUGCUCGUCCCUCCAGCCGCCCUCGUCUUCAGAGCGUGGCAGCGGCGUCUCGUCUGUCCGCAACGGAAACAGCUUCUGCAGUCCGCACGAAAUGGUAAAAAAAAAAUUGGUAAUUUUGUUGUGUCAGUCUUCUUCUCGUGUUGGCCAUCACAAGUCGAUAUCCAAAUCGCUGGACCGCUCGGUGUCGGUGUGAUCCAGUUAAGUCACUUCGCCUUCUAGCCAACGGCGCAAGGGGCAGCCGUCAACAAAAUGGACGACUGUUGCUGGGUAGCUCCGUAGUCACAUAACGUAUGGGUGGUACGCAUGCACUUUUUUAAUAUG